rnacentral:ncRNA from 1 species
CAGAGCCAAGUGAAUCGAAAGAUUCAUGUUUGGUUCGGGAAGAGAUCAUAGAAACUGUAAACUUUAAAAGCAAGAUAAUCUACUUUCAU